AAUACCAGAUCAAACACCUCUAAUCUUAUUUAGCUCAGAUCAAAGAAGUUGUCACGGCAUAAAUAUUAAUUUUAAGUUUUGAUAGUAUCUGUCCUGACCAGCUGUAUUUAAUUUGAACCUCCUUGUUAGUUAUUAACAUGCAGCAGGCUGUGUAAAGGAAUGUCCUCCUCUUUGUUGGUGCGUCUCCAAGGUUACAGUCUGCAGAUCACUGGAGCAGCUCAGUCUGACUGGAGGUUCUUUCAUCUAAAUGCAACUCGAGGCCUUUUCCCAGACGUAUUUCUGCUCUGCGAGUAUGAACCAGAACCAGCACUCGGUCCCUCACUCGGUGAAGCGCUGGCAGCUGAACGGAACCGACUAUAAACCGCAGCAGGUCCGGAACCUGCGAACCGAGACCCGAUUCAGCAGCUGGACUCCACUGAACCACCAGCACAGCAAUAUACAGUUGUUUGAGGAGCGUCUGAACCUGGUUCUGCGCUGGUUUGAUCUGUGGACGGACCGGCAGAGGAAACUCCUGCUGCACUCUCUGCUCUCACGAUGCACCACGUCGCAGCUCAAGUUCUGUCGGGAUCAGCUGAUGGAGGCGGUUCCGGUGACCCAGCUGGACUUCACAUCGGUGCUGCCUCGGUUCCUGUCCCUCUACGUGAUGUCCUUUCUGUCCCCUCUGGACCUCUGCAACGCCGCCCAGGUCAGCUGGCACUGGAGGGUUCUGGCUGAGCAGGACUGUCUGUGGGUGGGUCGGUGCAUCAGAAGAGGCUGGUUCCUUCCUUACACUCCUGUAGAUAAAGAGUUCGGAGCCUGGAAGAACCACUACGUCUCCUGCGUGUCCACACUGGGCCUGCUCAGUCCACGGCAGGCAGCAGAGAUGUACGGAACCCUGAACCAGCAGAACCUGGGGAGCGAGGAGGAGGAGAGGAGGAAGGAGAGGAGGAUCAGGGAGAUGAUCAGGGAGAAGCUUCAGGAGGAGAAGAGAGUUUCUCUGAGAACCAGGAGAGUCUGGGGCAGCGCCAUAAGGCCAGAAGGAUCCAGAGGUGGAGGUUCCCAGUCAGGGAGAUCCAGCUCUGGUGUAACAUCCAUCUCCGGGCCUCUGAGGUCUGUUGGAUCUUCCACCCUCAGUCUGGAGAGGAGACGACCCACGGCUGAAGGUCAGAGUCUGGGGAGAGUUCAGGCCUCCAGUCUGAGCAGUGACAGUGUGACCAGAUCCUCCACCUCCAGACCUGCUCUGAAUCCAUCUCAUGCUCCCCUCUUACUGCUCAUCUCCAACAGAACUCCUGCUUAUGAGCUGCUGCUGAGCGGCGUGACGUCCGGAGUGAUGGUGGUUCUGUACGACCACAGAGGGACUCUACCGGCUCUGCUUGCCCAGGUGGAGAGAGCCGUUUGUGGGCGGCUGGCUCAGAGGCUCGGCCUGCUGGCACCAGGAGGAACAGAGGAAAUCAGUCUGCUUUAUGACUGCAGCCUAUCAGAGAGAACCCUGCUGAACCCUGAUCAGAGAGAAUUCUGGGAGAAGCUGUGUGGCUGGGUGGCACCGACUAGCGAAGGAGGAGGGAUGGAUAUCUUCUGUCCUCUGGCUGCAUCUGCAUCAGGAGGGACUCUGAUCCGACGUCUGUCCACUCUGACUGGUCUGGAGGUUCGAGCUCCGAUGGGUCUGGCCGCCGGCAGCUUCCAGAACGUCCUCAGCGAGUGGUCUGUCAGCGCUGGUUCCAGACUUUACGACCAGCAGUCGGCAGCUCCGGCGCUGCAGUAUGUGAAUGACGGCGUUCUGCAGUUCUGGUGCCGACAGGCUCAGUGGAUGGAGGAGGUUCUGGUGGAGCUGAGAGGCUUCAUGGGGCCACGGAUCCAGCAGAUCAGCCUCCAGACCAGGGGUCGAGCUCUGGGUUAUUUCCUGUGUGACAAAAUGUGCCUGGACAAGCUUUGUGUGUCCAAAGAUCUGAGUGAUGCUCUGACUGAAGGACUCACUGCUCUGACCAGACAGGAAGAGAGCAGACCACUGGAGUUUCUGUUAAACUUCCUGACUAGAUGGAGUAAAGAGGAGGAACAGCGGAGUAAUGGAGAGGACGAGUGGAGAAGCAAAGGAGAUGAUUCGGCUUCAGGAUCACAAAAGUCAGAGACAAGCUUCAGCCUGAUCCCUGAAUUAGUUCAGACGCCAUUUGAUUGGAGAGGAUCAGUUGUCAGAGAGCUGCACCACAGCGAGUGUCUUUAUCUGAGCAGGCUGAGGGCUGUGAUGAAGGUCUACCAGGAUCCUCUGACUGCAGCUCUGAACUCCAACAGAGCAAUCCUCAGCUACACUGACAUCCAGAUCAUCCUCAGCCCUGUUGGACUCAUUCUGGAGCUCCACAGGGUGUUUGAGGCAGAUUUACAGGUCAGACUGCAGCAGUGGGGACCAGAACAGUGUGUUGGAGAUGUGUUUGUAAAGUUCUGCUCCAGACUCAGAGUCUACAGCAACUAUCUCAACAACUACACUACAGCACUGUGCACUGUUGAUAAGUGCAGAGAGAACAAACCUUCAUUUCGAGCUUUCCUGAAGAGAGCAGACAGAACUCUUGCAACACACAUGUUCAGCCUGCAGGAGCUGCUGCUGUGUCCGGUGUGGAGGAUUCAAGAAUACGCGACUCUGCUUCAAGCUCUGAGCGUCCACACAAACCCCGAUCAUCCAGACCAGCCACACCUGUGCUCUGCCCUCAGCACGCUGCUGCGAUUUAAGGAGUUCAUACAAAAGUUGAAGCGUAGCUCGGAGGCGGAUCGACUGAUUGAAGAGACGCAGUGGCUCAUCCAAGGCUGUCCGAACCUCAAGGAAGGAAACAGGCAGCUGAUAAUAAGUCAAGAUGCUGCUUUGCUCCAGAGUCCAGAUGAACAGAUUCCAGAUUGUCUCAGGACCUACGAGCAGGUGUGUGACGUCGGCCUCUUCCUGUUUAACGAUGCUUUGGUGCUAACGAGGAGAAACCUGCAUCACACACCUUUCAGGCCGGCUCACCGCUGCACACACACAUUCCUUGCUUCGGUUGAUCUCGGCAGCCUGGAUGUGCGAGAGAUCAGAUACAAUCGCUAUGUGAGCAACGCCUUCGUCCUGCAGGGUCCUUGUCGUUCGUGGGUUUGCGCCACAGAAAGCGGUGAAGAGAAGCAACACUUUCUGUCUGUGCUGCGUUCAGCUAUGAAGUCUGCUCUGAGAGGACAUCAGUGAAGCUCUGGGACAACAAGCUCUGAUGGACCAUAUGGCCCCUGACAGAAGACUGAGCUCCUGGGAGUCUGUCCCCGAGGAGAGAGGGAGUAAAGGGAGGUGGAGGACGGCAGGAGCAACAAAUACAAAUAUAAGUCCAGGAUCUCCGCCUGCUUCCAAAUACCUCCUGGAACCUCCACCUGCCUUUCCAAGCCCCGUUCCUCCCUCAGUCUGUCUUCAGUUAAGUUCCCUGCUUGAUCGCCUACCCAGUUAGUCUGUUAGUAGAGUACUUUCUAGGCUUUCCGUCUGUUGCUGUAGUAUUAGCAUUCCGCUUCGCGUUAGUGCCGUAGCCGGAAUCUGUAGCCUCUGGCUUUCCGUAUUUGUAGUUCUCGUACUUCUUUGCUCAGUUCAGUUCAGUCAUUUUGGUAUCUAGCUUCUGUGGUUAGCCUUAGUGUAGUUUUGUUCACAUUCCUGCUCUUAGUAAUACCUGGUUCGAGUCUGUGUAUCAAAAAUAAUCAGUAUUUUGUGUACAGUCUGGUUAGUACCUUGUCAGUCCACCUCUCCUCCAGAGGGCUCCCUAGUUCUGUAUUUAUCUCUGCCUUACUGUGUUCUUUUGUUCAGUUAUUCCUGGAAGUAAAUCAUUGUUUAUUGUACUCAGUUUGUGUCUUUGUUGUCUACACUUAAGUCUCUUCUAGCCUUAUAACAGGAAGUGAAAUUAGAUAAAAUAAAACGGCACUUAUGUAUGUGAGUUCAGACUUACGGUGAAAAUUGCACUACGUCAUGCGACUUUGAGGACCCCCUGUACUUGCGGCAUUCCAGUUGAAAAUGUUGACUGGAUAUUCAGAAAAUCUAGAUUCCUAGUUCAAGUGGAGCUACGUUACGCCUCAAGCUAAUGGCAUCAAGGACAAAGUUGUAGUCUUCAGACUCAAGUGACACAACCUGAGCCACAAUAGCACUGACACAGCUCACAUUAAACAAAUCUGUAAAUUAAAGUCUCUGUGUUGCUGUGUUUCCGCUCCGAUUAACCUUGCUCUAACGGAACCUUUUCCAUCGUGUCGAAAAACUCAGAAACGCACGGAUGCUGAACCAUUUGGCCAAGAGACAGCGCGCGCUCUGGUGGAGUUCCCCUUUAACAAAACCCCUUCUAGUGGUUCUCCUGUUCACCUUGCAGUAGGGUGGGGUUGCACCACAAAUAGCCUCCUGACACUUUAAAAAAUCUGGGUUGCUUUCUGAUGCAGUCUGAGGAUCACAGACGGUUGAGUCACAGCAGCGUCUUUCCCUCAGUAAUAGAAUUAUGGGCAUUGUUCGGCACACUGAGCUAAAAAAAGCUGCAUCGAAAUCAAUUAGCUUCAUUAUUAGUUUUGUUGGGCCAAAGCAACCGAGUAAGGAUUGACCUGUGGAUGAAUGUGUCUUUCUUUAUGACAUGUAUUGCGUCAGUCCUCCAGCUGUCAGUGGUUCCUCUGCCUGACACGCCGUCAUAAAUCUCUUUUCUUUCACCUCUACCCCGGUGUGUGUUUUUUCUUGCCUUUCAGCUCUGUUUCUGACUUUUCACUUCACCUUUACAGUUUAAAUGCUUGUUUUGUCCUUAGAAAACUUGCUGUUACAGUGACUUCUCCACAGGCCAAGGUCUGUCCAACACUUCACAUUUAAGAUUUGUCGAUGAAAUUGCGGAGAAGACGGGAAGUGAUUCAGUGAGGAGAAAAUGAUGGGUUUUUUCAGCCUUCAGUGGAAUACAGAAGAUGCCACAGUUUUUCCCCCGAAGACACAGAUGCUCACUUUCAACAGUCCUGUGGGGCCUCUUCACACCAGACUGCAGUACAUGACAUCAUUACUUUGGUUUAAAAGGCUAUAAACCGUCCAUGUUUCUCACCACAUCAACACUAACCCUUUCACAUUAGUCUGUCAGUGAGAGCACCCGUCUCCAUCUACUCCUGCUGUUUCAUCAGCCCCUUUAUGACCCGUCUGCAGGUUGGAGCAGCUGAAAAUGGCCUUUAAGGGACACUUUGCUCAACACAGGAGAGCUUUUACACAGCGCAGUGGACCGGAGGGUUGUGUGUUGGUGCAUGUGUGCUUUCACAAAGAGUGUGUGAUGGUCGGAGUGACGUCUCAUAGGCUUUGGGUGGAAACAUAGUCUGCCUGUGCAUGGACCAGAAGUUAUUAGAGUUCUUGUUUUAAAGUAUGUGCACUGCAACAACUCAAAAUCUUACCAAGUCUGUUUGUCUUAUUUUUAGUCAAAAUGUCUCAUCCCACUUGAUUUAAGAUAAAUUCACUUAACAAGUGACAUUUCAGCAAGAUGGAGGGACUUGUUUUAAGACAAUGCAUCUUAAAUAUCUUGUUAAGUCAAACAAUCUUGAAAUUACCUUGUUUUGAGUUAAAUUUUACAAGAAAUCUCAAAAUAAGUUUAACCCUUGUGUUGUCCUGCGGGUCAAAAUUGACCCGUUUUAAAGUUUGAAAAUGUGGGAAAAAAAUAUAUUUUCGCAGUGAAACUUCUGAUGUCCACAUUUUCACCAUUUUUGGGAAAUUUUUUUGAACAUUUUUUGGUAGAAAAAAGAAAUGUUAAAAAUGUUUCUUAAGAACAUUCACAAAAAACUCAACCAAAAUCUAGCGAAUUUCACUGGAUUUUGGUUGAUUUUUUUGUGAAUAUUCUUUAAGGAAAUAUUAGAAGUUUUACUGACAUAUGUACUCACUUUAGAUAUUUUUAUGAUUUUUUUGGAAGAUUUUUACUAAUUUUUUUGAAAAUAUUUACAAGAAUUUUCUUGUCAAAUUUGGGGGAUUUUUUUUAAAUAAAACUUUUAAGGGAAACUUUUAAGGAAUUAUUGGAAUUUUCUUCCUGAAGGUUUUGCAAAUUUUCUGAAAUUUGGGGAAUUUUUUUGCUGAAUUUUUGGAUUUUUUUCAGACAAGGAAACAAUAUUUUCUGGUGCCUGUAAAUGAGGACAACAGGAGGGUUAACAGUGCUCUCAACUUGAUUAACCAAAUUGUACCUGAGUUGUAGGGUCUCUUCAACACAAUCAAGAUGUAAUUUAAGCCAUGGUUGCCAAUCUAUGAUCAGAUAAUUGCUGUACAGAAAAAAGUUUGGAAACUGUCGAUUGAGUUUCGUCCAAAAAAUAAAGAGUGAUUCAUUUAACUCUAAAGAAGUUGAAAUCAACAACAGCGAAGUUGCAGUGAAGCAGAACAACUGCCGGUGAAGAAGAAAACGCAUGGCAGACAGACACUUACAGAGAGGAAUUAUCAGUAUGAGAAAGACGAGAAAAGUAACUUUUAAUGUGAAUUUUAUUGAGGAGAGAUUUGUUAGCUGCCAUGUAAAACCAAGCAAAUGUUACGAUAUGUUAUGAUACUCACACUCCCUGACCCUCUUCCUUCUUCCUCUGUCGCUCUGCAUUAUGGGAGCGGGCGGUUUAAAAACAGAGGUAUUUACGACUCAGCACUCUAGAGUUCCUGGAGCUCCACGAAACAUGUGGGACUGGCAGUGUGACACCGGCAGCUCAGUUUAAAGAUAGACGGGUUUUGGUUCGGCCUAUUUUGUAUCACCUGCCUGUCUGUAAGUCUGUCUUCGAGGAGAACUCGGCAUAUGUGAUACCUUACGAAAGAAACACAAAACAGCUUCUUAACUAGAACUGGGAGCUGUUAACACUAAGAAAAACUUAGAUGCUUGAGUCAAACUGAGUGUACAACAAUGCAAAAAAGGGGAAAAUAUAGCUUAAAUGUACUUGCAUCUGUAUUUUCCACUAUGUAUUUUGUUAAAUACAUUAAAAACCUUUAAAUAUAUGUGUGAAUAAAGCUGUUGAACUUGUCAA